AUCCAGCUGACCAGUCCCAGAUAGAACGAAAUGCACAUCCUGGAC
rfam:Schistosoma haematobium scaffold1162_1, whole genome shotgun sequence.